CGGGAUGGAGCAGUUCGGUAGCUCGUCGGGCUCAUAACCCGAAGGUCGCAGGUUCAAAUCCUGCUCCCGCA
rnacentral:tRNA from 1 species